AGUCGAACGCCCCGCAAGGGGAGUGGCAGACGGGUGAGUAACGCGUGGGAACAUACCCUUUCCUGCGGAAUAGCUCCGGGAAACUGGAAUUAAUACCGCAUACGCCCUACGGGGGAAAGAUUUAUCGGUGAAGGAUCGGCCCGCGUUGGAUUAGCUAGUUGGUGGGGUAAAGGCCUACCAAGGCGACGAUCCAUAGCUGGUCUGAGAGGAUGAUCAGCCACAUUGGGACUGAGACACGGCCCAAACUCCUACGGGAGGCAGCAGUGGGGAAUAUUGGACAAUGGGCGCAAGCCUGAUCCAGCCAUGCCGCGUGAGUGAUGAAGGCCUUAGGGUUGUAAAGCUCUUUCACCGGAGAAGAUAAUGACGGUAUCCGGAGAAGAAGCCCCGGCUAACUUCGUGCCA
rnacentral:rRNA from 1 species